rnacentral:ncRNA from 1 species
UCGGUUCCGGUUCACGCCGAAAACCUCCCCGUCAGCGGAGGGGCGACCCGGGGCC